AGUAAAUCACAGGACAGAGAGAGACAGACAGAGAGAGAGAGAGAGAGAGAGAGAGAGAGAGAGAGAGGAAACAAGAGAAAUCAAAGACUUGACGAAUGCUCAUCCAGCUGGCUUAAGGUUGUCCUCACUCACUCAGCUGUGAACGAGUGUCUCGGCAGAAUGGAUUUCAUAUUGGUCCAACAGCCGCUGAGCAGGAGAAGUAGCUCUGUUGACUAUCAUGCCGUUUGGAUUAUUUCAGAAACCGCUGCUGUUGUGAUGAAUGGGAAUGACAGCUUGCAGAAAGGAAGAUGAAUCUUGAUUCUCUUGAGGGCUCGAUCCAGAACCUGCUGUCGGUGCUGUACCCGCCCUUUGAGGCCACCGCCCCUACUCUUCUCAGCCAGCUCUUCCAAAUCAUCGACAGUCGUUAUCAGGGGGAUGCCCUGCGGUGCCUGCUGGACUUUCUAGUCCCAGCCAAGCACAUUUUAGACACUGUGCAGCAGGCUGCAUGUGCUCAAUACUCUGAUGUACUUUUCCUGUGUGAGGGCUGGCCUCUAUGUUUGCGUGACCAAGUUGUCAUCCACCUUGCUCCCAUCAACCCCCUGCUACUUCAGCCAGGUGACUUUUACCUCCAAGUGGCGCCAUUCUGUGACCAGUCAGCUCGCAUCGUGGUGUGCAGCCUCCUGGAAGAGGAGGGACUUAGAGUAGAGGUAGUCGAGGAGACCCCAAUACCUGAAACUUCCUAUCCUUGUAUAUUCAGCCGUGACUGGUUACAGGAGAUUAACCAGGGCCGCCAUGGAACGCCUCUCAGCCAAUGCCUGCUCGCCACUGAGCAAGGCGUGGUGAGGUUACCAUGGGAACGGGUGGCCGUGCCUGAAUUUGUGGACGUGCCAACGUGUGCUGGGAGUAGUAUGGCCUCUGCUCCUUCUUCAUAUCCUCCUUUACCACCUCCACUUCCUCAUCCUCCACCUCUUCCUCAUGUUUCUGAGAACUCUUCAUCAAAUUGUUCAUUUCCACUUUCUCCUUUGAAGGAAUCUGCACCAAAACAGUACCCUGUAACAAUUAAAAAUUCAAUUUUAACAUCUUCUUCACAUCCCUCUGCCUUCUCUGUGGAGACCAGAAUAUGUCCAGCAAAGCACGGCAUUGCUGUGUCACUCUGCCUGGUUGAUACUAGAGCUGCUUCCUCAUCUAGGCUGGUCAAAGUGAAAGAGACUGAAACAGAGACUAAGCCUAUUGGCUGGGUGUCCCCUAAUAUGUGGGACAGCUGCUUUACUGGGACAGAUACAACCACAAAAACAAGCACUGUUUCAGGAAAAUGCACCCCUGCAAGUGGUGAUACCAAUACGUGCAAAGGUGAAGAUAAGGGUAUAAUAGUUUCUGAAAACAUAAGGCAAGAUAAACAUAAAGGUACAAAUAUUAAAGAUAUUAGCAGGAGUGUGCCAGCUGGCCACGUUGUUGCAGAAGGGGAAUAUAUUGAUAUUCUGCAGGCAACUAUGCUUUUUGGUAGAGCUCAGUCAGUUUCUGAAGAACAGCAGAAAUUAGAAAUGCAAAUGCAACCACACACAAAAACUGAACCACAAAUGCAAAGACAUCCACACAGACAAGCACAAAUGCAGCCACAUGCACAAAUGGAGUCGUACAGGCAAACACAAAGACAGCAUAACACACAGAUACCACCUCAAGCGCAGUCACAAGCACAUGUGCAGUUACCUACAAAGCCACAAAGUCAUUCUAGAUCAGAGGCUGUAUCAUUAAGACCCAACAUGUCUGCAGAAACAGGACCUCCAUCCACUCUCCACCAUUCCCAGUCCCAUCACCCUCACCCUGACUCGCUUGAACCUUCUCAGUGUAUCCGCACUGUCCGGUUCUCAGAGAAACCCUGUACCCCGUGCAUGAGGAGAAGACAAGGUGGAAAGGUUUCCAAAGCUCAGGAGCUGAGGUGUCGAUACAGGGACUCCUACCAGGCUGCUAUAAAAAACCCUGUCACCUUUGGACAGGAGAAAGAUAGGGGGGAUAUGUUAGCUGUGGUGGAGGAGGAUGGUGACUUCUCACAGUGUGAUGACAAACUACUAGAGACUGAAACAGGGGAUCCAUGGUGUAAUGUUCAAGGAAUGUGGUUUGAUCCUGGGAUGCAUCACCAGUCUCCUUCCUCUGUCAGUGGAGCCAUCUGUAAGGAGUCAGGAGAAACUAACAGUGUUUCGUAUUGGAAACCAGGAGAUACAAACAUUGCCCCCUGUAUGGAUUACAGGGGAACCAAUGUUUUACAAUUUGGUGGCCUACCAGAGCAGACAACUGAAAGGACCACUCUGCCAUUUAGGGAACCAAGGGAUGCACACUCUACCACAACUUAUGGCAAUUUACACAAUGUGAAUGGGACAAAUUUAGAAGCAAGAACAAGGAUAAACGCUAGUAAAGCUUUGUCAAGCUUAAAUGACCCUAAACAGUCAGAUGUGAACUCUGCAAAACACCACAGAUUACCGUUUAGUUCAAGUGAAAUUUCCGCAAUGAACCUCACCCUCAAACCUCGGGAAAGAAUGCAAAGCAGAACCAGUUCCAUGGGAGUGAGUCCAAACUUUUCUAAGUCUCUAUCAGCGACACAGAACAGACGGGAAUCCCUGUCAGAUGGAAGAUGUUCAUCCCUCUCCACAGCUGUGGUGGAUACCUCAGAGAAGUGUGAGCUGGUCAUUGUUGAGGGUCAAAAUGUGAGGAGAAAAGAAAGUAAAGACUCCUGUGCAGAGAUUCCCCAGCUGCAUGUGGUCAAAUGUAAAAACAGCACAGCCUUUCGACUGGUUUCACCGAAGAUCAACAGGAGGAAGAUGGUUGUUCCAGAUGGUGUUCAGCCUGGCAAUACGUCCAUUACCAGUAGAAAUGGCCAUCAGACGGAGAACCCAUCACAGACAGAUCCACCUCCAGCAGUAGAGAUGCACAAGAUCUCCCAGCAUGCCUCUGCUCGUCCCAGACCUGACCACCUUCCCCUGGGAUCUCCAGACCCGAGAGCCCACCCCCUCUAUUUAGGAGUAGCCUCUCUCACAGGUGGCAGAGACCGAACAGGCAGGGCAAUAGUUGAACUCUAUGGAGACCACCAGGGAUGGAGUUCAGCUGUAACAAGCCAGGAGCUCUUCAAGAUGUUGCUCUACUUCCACUCUAUCACCAGGAGAGAAAUCAGAGAAGCUGGGAUGACUCUCCUUUUUGAUUCAAGGAAGACAAAUCCUCAACCGCAGCUCUAUAAAGCCUUGAUGACAUUUCAGGAGCAGAUUCCCCAGGCAGUAAACAGUUUCGUGCUGCUGGUGGACAAGGAGAGCAGCCUUCGGCCGGAGAGGUGUCCUGGCACCCAGACUGAAGUGGUGACGUCAAUGAAAGCCUUGUUAAAGCUGGUGGAGGUGAGUCAGCUGAGCUCCAGCCUGGAUGGCACACUGACUCACAGCCACUGUGACUGGAUGGAGCUGCACCAGAAACUCUUCCCUUUUGUGUCUGACCUUCAUGAGGCGUCCAGCCACCUACUGAGAGCAAUCAGUAGGUUGGAGGAGCCCCAGAGGACGGACACUGUACAGACUGUGCAGCAAUGCAUGAUGGACCAGAGGACUCUGAUGAGGGAUGUACUGGAGGACAGCCGAUUGGUCAGUCUGCAGAGGGAGGGCGGGGCCAUCUUGGCGAGGCUGCGGAAGGAGAGUGACCUCAAAUAUCCCCACUGUGAGGACCUCAGUGAUGCUGUGGACUCUGUGACCAGCCUGUACAACCAUGUGGAGGAGCAGGCUCACGUGCUCGUGCAAAGGUCCAACAUGUCACUGGAACACCUGGAGUAUCUGCUGCAACUCAGAGAGAUGGAGGGACACUUCAUGCAGAUGCACCAGUGGUUUAAUGUAGAAGGAGAGCGCCACCUGCUGCAGGCUGAAUCAGUCGAGGACUCUGGAGACAGAAUGGAGCAGUUUCUCAACAGCUUCACUGGUUUCCUUAUUGAAGCUAAUGACCGAAGGCACCAUGCCAUGACGUUAGUGUCAGAGGCAGAACGAUUGCAGCAGAGUGGACUCUCCUACCCAGAGACUGAGGCAUUCAGGACUCUAGUCUGCACCUUCAAGUCAGGCCUAGAGAACUUCCUGUGCAGGGCAGAGGCGUGUGGCAGAGAGCUGCAGAUCAUGGUCAACGUGUGUGAUUUCUGUGAGCAGGCUACUGCACUUGCCAGCGAAUGCAUUGAGUACCUGAACCAGAGUCAAUCCAGAAUCCACACAAUGCAACACCCUGACCAGACUACAACAUCUGCCAGUCAAACAAACACUCAGCUAAUACAACACCAGAACCAAGAGUCUGACAACCACACAACACAGGGCUCAGGUCCAACCACCACCGGUGUUUUACUGUCAGACGGCUCCAUCCUCCAUACUUUCCAAGACAGGUUCCUCCAGUUCAGCACAGAGAGAUUUCAGGAGGUGAAGGCCCAGGCCAGCGCCCUGCGAGGCUCCAGGGGGAUGCGGGUCUGGAACAUAGCCUGGCUGAGAUGCCAAGAGGCCAGGCAGCAGCUUCAGGAGAGGAUGCAGGAUGUAGAGGAUGUGGUUUUCCACCAACAGCCAGAUUCUAGCAGCUGGUGUGAACUUCAUUAUGUUGAUGUGGUGAGCACUAAUGUUCAGACACCGUCCUCUGGUGGCCGGAGUCUGGUAGUACAAUCAACGCCGGGGCCUCGGCACCCGGAGUGGGAGGGCAUCAUUUCAGGAGAGGUUGAUUUAGGGAAGAGGAGGCCAAUCCUGGGAGCUAAUUCAACAACUGCAGCCAUCACAGUCAAACCUGAGGAUCACAGUGAUGCUGGAACCAGCCAGGAGUCAAAGGUCACUCCACAGUCACCUCACAGGUCAGCAAAGAGAACAGAAAGGGAGACGAAGAGGAGACAGGCGAGUAGAGCAAGGAGUGAGAGAGAUGCUGCAGCUCUUUCUCAGUCCCACACAGUCGGCUGCCAGUGGUUUCCAUGGGGACGAGGUCUUGGAGUGAGGUCGGUGAGCCAGGACUCGUGCACUACAGGAGUAGCGACAGCAGGGUCAUCCACUCCUCCAGAGCAGCACAUUCGACCCCCGUCAUCCUGCUCCCACCACGGGCAGCCUUCUUGUCGAAUCCUCCAGGAGGCUCAGAAGUUCCAGAUAUCCCGUCACGGGAGCUUCUGCUCAGAAGACUCCUGUAUGAGCGACCGGGGGGCUGCAGGGGGCAACGGGACUUUAUGCUGCAAACACUCCAGCCUGCCCAUCGGCAGAUAUGAGGGGGGGUUUUGUUUGGCAAGUCCACAGGAGAGUGCCAGCAACGCCCUGAGGCUGCAGCGUGUCCUGGAGGAGCUGGUGUUCACAGAGAGAGAGUAUGUCCGCUCGCUGGGCUACAUCCUGACACACUACCUCCCCCUGCUGGACAGACCAGAUAUCCCCCAGGACCUGAGGGGCAAGCGAGGCAUCAUCUUCGGCAACCUGGAGAAGCUUUACGACUUCCACAGCCACUACUUCCUGCCAGAGCUGGAGGCCUGCCAGAGGGAGCCCGCCAUGGUGGCCCGCUGCUUCCUCAGACACAGUGAGAGUUUUGGCCUGUACGCUCUGUACAGCAAGAACAAGCCUCAGUCAGACGCGCUGAUCCUACACCGUCGCCAUGACAUCUUCAAGAGGAAGCAGCAGGAGCUGGGGGACAUGAUGGACCUUUCAUCCUACCUGCUGAGGCCCAUCCAGAGGAUCAGCAAGUAUAGCCUCCUGCUGCAGGACAUGCUGGCUCUGGCUGGUUCAUACAGGCCAAAAGACAUGAUCCAGGAUACACUGCUCGCAUCCAGUGUGUGUGCACAAAGUGUGUGUGGCCCUGGUGCGUAUGUACCUGAUCUGACGAGCGGUGAGAAGGAGCGGGAGAGGGCUGAGAUCCAAGCUGCUGCAGAUCUGGUUCGGUUUCAGAUGCGCCAUGGCAACGAUCUGCUCACCAUGGACGCCAUCCAGGAGUGUGAUGUGAAUUUAAAAGAACAGGGCCAGCUGAUUCGCCAGGACGAGUUCACCGUUUUCUUUAGGAAGAAGAAAUGUGUUCGACGCAUCUUUCUCUUUGAAGAGCUCAUCCUCUUCAGCAAGACGAAGAGGACAGACAUCGGCAACGAUGUUUAUGUCUACAAGCAGUCAUUCAAGACGAGCGACAUCGGGAUGACCCACAACUCGAGUGUGAGCGGUUUGUGCUUUGAGAUCUGGUUCCGCAGGAGAAAAAGUGAGGACACCUACACCCUGAAGGCCUCCAGCAUGGAGGUGAAGAAAGCCUGGACCACCGACCUGGAGAAGAUUCUGUGGGAUCAGGCCGCUCACAGUAGAGAGCUGCGUAUGCAGGAGAGGGUGUUCAUGGGUAUGGGCCGCAAACCUUUCAUGGACAUUCAACCCAGUGACGCUGCGAUCUGUGACCGAGCCGUCAGCUGUGUCCUGCCUGGGAGAAUCCCUGUGGCGUGUUGUUCACACAGGGGCUUAGAAUAUCCACGACCACACUCGAUUGGCUCUGGCAGCACCGCCUCCACCACCCUCAGCCAAUCUUCUUCCUCUUCUGGCCGCGGCUCGCUGCCCCCUGCUGGUUAUUCCGGCAACCAGUCACAAGGGGUGGAGACCGGUCCAGCAGUCUGCUCCUCCCCUGAGGCUGUGACUGAAAACGACCUCAACCAUCAGCAUCUUCAUCAGCAUAAUCUUCAUCGUAACUGUGAACAGUGGAAAGCUCAUCAUCCUAUGAUGGACAGCACUGAAUCAUCCACAGAAUGCAUCAACCUCUUCAGCAGCUCAGACCGCAGCUGCCUGUCUGCCAUUGGUGCAGAGGUAGUGGACGACUCCUCCUCAUUUGUAUCCCAGAGUUCAAAGUCUCGACCACCACUCUGUCGGACCCCGAGCCUAAGGAGAAACAGCUCUCCAGUGGUUACCAUAAAGAAGCCAGGUGUCACCCCCAAACCUCCACAUCUGGCUAAUGUUCAGGUAGAGGACUCACAGGUUAUUUCUCCAGUGAUAGAAGUUGUGAAGGUUUGAAAAUGGUCUGAAUGUGUGUUAGUACCAAGAUAAAAAAUUCUGUCAGUAUUCAGAAUCGGUAUUAUUAACCAAGAACUUAUUCUAUGGGGUUGUUUUCAUUUUAUUGAAUUAAAAUAUUUUAUAUAUUGUAUCGCAGAGUGAUGACAUUAUAAUCGGAAAAUCCACAGAAGUUUAAUCUUGGGAUCCUGCAGAAGAUCUUCACUCCUCUGAAGCUGUUCUGGUCACCCUGCAGACAAACAGUUAAUUGAGUGGCUAAACAGUCACAAGGAAGUCAGCUCUGUCUGGUCACAAGGUUUUGUUUUAAAUGAUUUAUUGAACAAACUGAAGUUUGGCAUGUUGGUAUCAAAUGUCAAUCAUUCAAUUGUGGUUGUCUUAUAUCACAUGCAGACUGAUAUAACCCAUAUAAGAAGAGGAAGAGACUGCUACGUGUGUGAUACAUGGGUCAUAUUUCAAUGACAUGCAAUAUUAACCCACAAACACAAAUAUGUGUCUUGGUCCUUUGCUCCAGCAGAAUCAUCUUCAUCCCCAACCAUGUUUUUAUUUUCAUAUAGAACUAAGCAUCAGCUUCUACAGAUACAAUGUAUUAAAAUGUUAUGAAGAAAACAUAUUUUUUAUUUUUUUCCACUAUACAUAAAGUCACCAACAAUUCAAGAUUCAACAGUUCAUCCUCAUAAAACAAAUCAUAAUUGUUGCGAGAUAAACAAACCAUGUGUUUUUACAUGGUUAACUGUCUCUUAACUGAAGUAAAACAUGCUUUUUGCUUACACAUUUAAUAACGAGCAGGUAUUCGUGCCAUCUACAAAAACACAAUGAGAUGUCAAGGGAAACAUUUCUGAUAUAUUUUGUAGGAUCUUCUGUGCUGUACAGUCUGUACAAUUAUUGAUAUGCAGGGAUCAACGAAGAGAAGGUUGUAUUUAUUAUUGUCACUAAAAUAAACAGAUUAUGUGGGACAAACACACAAGGAUGAGCAUCUGUAUUUGAGAGUAAAUCACUUCAGUCCAGUGGCACAAGUAAAGUGUAUCGCUCUUUGCAAGGUGGCAAAGCUUUGCUUGGGAAGAAAUUGUGUAUAAUUUAUCUUUUGACAGCUGAACUACAUUGUUUUGGUUACAUGAUCACAAGGGAAACUUAAUGCAGUCCAAGAUGCAGUUCAGAGCUCCAGAGCUAUCCACUGGCCAUAAGCCCAGAACUAGCUGAAGACACAAAGUUAAAGCUGACCAUAAAUGGAGAAACAUGUGGUUAUUUGUCCAUAUACGUAAAAGUAAAAUCUUUCGACGGUGUAAUGAUUAAUAUAUAGUAAUUAACAUAUAAAGAUAUAUCUGUCUGGCUCUGACUCUUACAGUAGUCCUGUAUUUAUUAAUUUAUCAGAAGGGACAGGCCACUUACAUGGUUUCACAUCUAGAUUUGAAUUACUAUGUAACUCAUGGAUUUAAUACAGAAGAUCUGAAAUCGCUGGGUUAACUAUAUUAACCACACAAACUGCACACUAACAGACACAGUAUAUUCAAGUUUUCGGGCAAAAACCACUUACUGAUAUUUAGGGUCCACUAAUGGUUCCAUACUGAUACUGAUCAAUGUUCCAGCUUUACUCUCAUGAAAAUGACCAUUACAGAAAAGUAUUUUUCAGAUUAUUUAAAUGUAUUUUUGUUUUUUUUUAACAAGUUAAUGUUGAAACACUGUCAUUAUUUUGUAAGCUCUGUGAUUUUAUUGUCUGUGCGAAAUGUACAGUGUGCAAAUCAUGACAGGAUCUUGAAAAACUGAGGUCAUAAUGGUUGACCUCUGAUUGUUUUAUUUUAAAGCCACUGACCUUUUAUGACAUGGUAGAUCCGUUUCUGCUUUCUUUCACUUUUUUUUAUUGCUUACUUGAUUUCCUCUGAAUUUCUUCUUUCGUAAAUGUGUGCUUUUUCUUCCUUAUUCCACAGACACAAAUAUUCCACAGGCAGGAACUUAUUGCAAAAGCUUUUAUUGCCCUGUGUGCAGAUAACAAACACUGCUGUAUAAAUCUGUUUCAGUUCUGCACAGUCAAGUUGCAGCUUCAUGACCUAUUUACAACUUCCUCAAGUUCAAAAGUCAAAGUGAAAGUCUCGACAUGCUGACCUUACAACAAUUGUGUGACUUAUAUUUCUUGCUUAAAAGUUGCUUAAAAAUGUUCACUGUAUGUGUUAUUUUCUGUUUUGCCUUAUGAAGUGUAAUUUAAAAAUGUUCGAUUCUUUCUGAAUUAUAACAUUUUGUUGAAUCAUUCGUUAAUAUACAGAAUGUUAAAUAAUAAA